rnacentral:rRNA from 1 species
AUGCAAACACCAACCAUGCCGACGCCCAUGGCCACGCGGCCGACGUCGACAAUGGCGGCGAAGCUGCCUGCGCCGUCGACACCGCGGCAAUGCUACCUCCUGCCAGGCCGCCGGGCAGGGCUCGCGCGCGGCGCCCCCUCGGCGUCGUCGAAGAAGCGGAACCCGUGGCUCGACCCGUUCGACGACGGGCCGGACGAGGAGUUCGACUACACGGGCGUGUACUCGGGCGGGAAGCAGGAGGAGGACCCGCGGCCGCCGGAGGACGCGGAGAACCCGUACGGGUUCCUCCGGUUCCCCAUGGGGUACAUGCCGGAGCUGGACAGCCUGGCGUCCAAGGUGCGCGGCGACGUGCGCCGCGUCUGCUGCGUCGUUUCCGGCGGGGUCUAUGAGAACGUGCUCUUCUUCCCCGUGGUGCAGAUGCUCAAGGACAGGUACCCCGGUGUGCUCGUCGACGUGGUGGCGUCGGCGCGCGGGAAGCAGGUCUACGAGAUGUGCAAGAACGUGCGGUACGCCAACGUGUACGACCCCGACGAUGAGUGGCCGGAGCCCGCCGAGUACACCCACCAGCUCGGCGUCAUGAAAAAUAGGUACUACGACAUGGUCCUGUCGACCAAGCUGGCAGGGACGGGGCACGCGCUGUUCCUCUUCAUGUCGUCGGCGCGCGAGAAGGUCGGCUACGUGUACCCCAACGUCAACGGUGCCGGCGCGGGGCUGUUCCUCACCGAGAUGUUCAAGCCGGCGACCACCAACCUCGCCGACGGCGGCUACAACAUGUACCAGGACAUGCUGGAGUGGCUGGGCCGGCCGGCCAAGGGCGUGCCGCAGCAGCCGACGCCGCCGCUCAGGGUGUCCAUCUCCAAGAAGCUGAGGGCGGUGGUGGAGGACAAGUACAACCGCGCGGGCGUGGAGAAGGGCAAGUACGUCGUCAUCCACGGCAUAGAAUCGGACUCCGUCGCCAACAUGAAGUCCCGGGGAGACGACGACUGCCUCCUCCCCCUCGAACUGUGGGCAGAGAUCGCCAAGGAGAUCAGCUCCGGAGGCAAUGGGCUGAGGCCUCUGUUUGUGAUGCCACAUGAGAAGCACAGAGAAGAGAUCGAGGAGAUUGUCGGCGAGGAGACGGCCUACCUGUUCAUCACUACUCCUGGACAGCUCACAUGCCUCAUCAAUGAUUCUGCCGGCGUUGUGGCGACCAACACCGCCGCCGUCCAGCUCGCCAACGCCCGUGACAAGCCAUGCGUGGCGCUGUUCUCCUCCAAGGCAAAGGCGAGGCUGUUCCUGCCGUACGCGGAGGAGAGGAAGAGCUGCACCGUUGUCGCGUCGGCGACAGGCAAGCUGGCCGGCAUUGACAUCGAGGCGGUGAAGAAGGCGGUCAAGGACUUGGAGCCCGCUCCUAGCUUCGCAUUGGCACAAACAUAA